CAGCAGCCGCGGUAAUACGUAGGGUGCGAGCGUUAAUCGGAAUUACUGGGCGUAAAGCGUGCGCAGGCGGAUGUGUAAGACAGGUGUGAAAUCCCCGGGCUUAACCUGGGAACUGCGCUUGUGACUGCACAGCUAGAGUAUGGCAGAGGGGGGUGGAAUUCCACGUGUAGCAGUGAAAUGCGUAGAGAUGUGGAGGAACACCGAUGGCGAAGGCAGCCCCCUGGGCCAAUACUGACGCUCACGCACGAAAGCGUGGGGAGCAAACAGGAUUAGAUACCCCUGUAGUCCCUGUCUCUUAUAC
rnacentral:rRNA from 1 species